rnacentral:tRNA from 1 species
GAGUAGUUCAGUUGGUAGAGCCCCGGAUUGUGAUUCCGGUUGUCGUGGGUUCGAGUCCCAUCUC